GACGAACGCUGGCGGCGUGCUUAACACAUGCAAGUCGAACGGAAAGGCCCUGCUUAUGUGGGGUGCUCGAGUGGCGAACGGGUGAGUAACACGUGAGUAACCUGCCCUUGACUUUGGGAUAACUUCAGGAAACUGGGGCUAAAAGCGGAUAGGAGCUCCUGCUGCAUCGUGGGGGUUGGAAAGGUUCGGCGGUUGGGGAUGGACUCGCGGCUUAUCAGCCUGUUGGUGAGGUAGUGGCUUACCAAGGCUUUGACGGGUAGCCGGCCUCAGAGGGUGACCGGCCACAGUGGGAAUGAGAUACGGGCGGCAGUACUGAGGAAGGCAGGAGUAUGGGAUAGUGCAUGAUGCGCGGAAGCCGCAUGCAGGAACGCCGCGUGCUGGAUUACAGCCUUCGUGUAUUAGGGCACAUACGGGGGUGAGGGAGAGUGAGUGAAGGUAAUGUAUAAAGAAGGACCGGCUAAGUACGUG
rnacentral:rRNA from 1 species